UGCAUCGAUGAAGAACGCAGCGAAUCGCGAUAAGUAAUGUGAAUUGCAGAUUUCCAGUGAAUCAUCGAAUCUUUGAAACGCACUUUGCGCUCCUUGGUACUCCGAGGAGCAUGCCUGUUUGAGUGUCAUUUUAUUCUCAACCAUGUCUUGAUUCAUUUCGAGCCAUGGCUUGGACUUGGGAGUCGUCGGCCCUCACAGGUCGACUCUCCUCAAAUGCAUUAGCGAAUGGACCAUCUCAGUGGGUCUGGCGGGCAAACAUAGCCUUUCGACGUGAUAACAUCGUAUAUCGGAGUCGAGGCGAAGCGCGUCGGGUGUAAGACAUGGUUUCUCUUCGCUUCCAAUCCCCAACCUGCUUAGUUAGUACUCGGUCGAGAGACCGCCGAACGCUCUCGCAGACCACUUUUGACCACUUUUGACCUCAAAUCAGGUAGGACUACCCGCUGAACUUAAGCAUAUCAAAGCGAGGAAAGA
rnacentral:rRNA from 1 species